CUGGUGAGUAACGCGUGAGGAACCUGCCUUUCGGAGGGGGACAACAGUUGGAAACGACUGCUAAUACCGCAUGAUACAUUUGGGCCGCAUGGUCUGAAUGUCAAAGAUUUAUCGCCGAAAGAUGGCCUCGCGUCUGAUUAGCUAGUUGGUGGGGUAACGGCCCACCAAGGCGACGAUCAGUAGCCGGACUGAGAGGUUGGCCGGCCACAUUGGGACUGAGAUACGGCCCAGACUCCUACGGGAGGCAGCAG
rnacentral:rRNA from 1 species